AAGCGUCUUCAAGGCAGGGUGAAAAUCCCGACCGGCUGUUUGAGUCAGCAACCCACUUAUGUGGCUGAACCCUAAGGUACCGAUAGUAUAGUCUAGAUGGAAGAAGACAGGC
rnacentral:ncRNA from 2 species